rnacentral:rRNA from 1 species
GGGAGAGGUCGUUCGAAACUGGGCCGCUAGAGGGCAGUAGAGGGGCGUGGAAUUCCCGGUGUAGCAGUGAAAUGCGUAGAGAUCGGGAGGAACAUCCGUGGCGAAGGCGGCCAUCUGGACCAGCACUGACACUGAGGCACGAAAGCGUGGGGAGCAAACAG